CUUGCUCCCUUAGGUCAGCGGCGGACGGGUGAGUAACACGUGGGUAACCUGCCUGUAAGACUGGGAUAACUCCGGGAAACCGGGGCUAAUACCGGAUGCUUGAUUGAACCGCAUGGUUCAAUCAUAAAAGGUGGCUUUUAGCUACCACUUGCAGAUGGACCCGCGGCGCAUUAGCUAGUUGGUGAGGUAACGGCUCACCAAGGCGACGAUGCGUAGCCGACCUGAGAGGGUGAUCGGCCACACUGGGACUGAGACACGGCCCAGACUCCUACGGGAGGCAGCAGUAGGGAAUCUUCCGCAAUGGACGAAAGUCUGACGGAGCAACGCCGCGUGAGUGAUGAAGGUUUUCGGAUCGUAAAACUCUGUUGUUAGGGAAGAACAAGUACCGUUCGAAUAGGGCGGCACCUUGACGGUACCUAACCAGAAAGCCACGGCUAACUACGUGCCAGCAGCCGCGGUAAUACGUAGGUGGCAAGCGUUGUCCGGAAUUAUUGGGCGUAAAGCGCGCGCAGGCGGUUUCUUAAGUCUGAUGUGAAAGCCCCCGGCUCAACCGGGGAGGGUCAUUGGAAACUGGGGAACUUGAGUGCAGAAGAGGAGAGUGGAAUUCCACGUGUAGCGGU
rnacentral:rRNA from 2 species